GAUACAAUUAUUCUACAAUUUACAGUGGAAAUGGAUAAUUCUAGUGAAAUAUAAUUGGCCUCUAUAAAUUCAACUAAUGAAGUGAUACAAAAAAGUGUACAAAAAAGUGAUCCACUGUAAAGUGUAACGGGACAUUUAUCUAUUUGAUGUUGUAUGAUUUUCGUACAUGAUUUCGCAGAAGUUGUGAAAAGAUGACGAUAACGGUCAACCUUGAACUUCUGUUAAAUCGUGGCAAUGCGUCGCCUGCAAUUUCUUCUAUCGACUUAUCUUCUGCAAUAUCCAUUAGUCGUAUGAAUAAAGUGCAGGAUGACACUCGCGACCGUGCGAGUGACUCUGCGUAGGCGGGCCGACGGUAAUCCCCAGUAGACAAACCAAGUUAGGUACUAUACCAUACCUAAUCUAGUGAAUCCGACCAUAUGGCCACUAUUUCAACAAGAACCUUGCCAUUCUACCACAAUACACUCGUCUUCGAUUUCUCAAACAGCCGUUGAUCGUAGGGGCGAGGGCUCUCCGUGAUCGUCAGGACCGUUUGAUCACGAGAAAAGAGGGCCAAGAGAGGAAAAAAAAGGGAGUGAAAAUGAGGGAGAGUACAGAGAUAAACAAUAGAAAAAAAAUCAAAUAAACGGGACACACGUUACCUGGGUUUUUAAGAAAAAAGCUACAAAAAGUAUAUAUAUAAUGAUUAUCGAAAGAAAAGCAAAAAGAGCGAAAGAGAGAGACGUAACGAAGGAAAAUAAGAUUGCUCGGCUUUGUCACUUUAAAACGGACAUUCGAAGAAACAUAAGAGUCACACACGCUAACCGCUAUGUAAAGUGUGAGGAGCCUAGGCUAUUUUGACCAGUAGCUGAAACCUGUGGAUGAGCCUUUAGAUUUUGAGGCUGUGCGUGGUAUGAUUUAUUCCGAAGGCACGUCCGCAAGUGUAAUUAAUUGUUAUAAUAAUCGGACUCGUAAUUAUAAUGUCUUUAAUGGGAAUGACAUUGCGUGUCGUUCGUGUGUUCUCUUUGUAGCUGACGUAUAGAGCCUUUUUAAUUUAUCUUGGGGAUGCUGUUACGCGACGUUGGGAGAUACUUUUUGUGGGUGUGACUUUUGGAAGAAUGAAAAUUAUAAAUAAAGUUGAAGAAAAAAAAGUAAACGUUGUUAUACGAUGACAUAUAUUUUAUAUCUAAUGAAUAAUACGUAUACGUUAAGGGAAACGUGAUUGGACGAUGCCACUUGGAAUAAAUCAUACUGGACCCGCUCGACAUGCCGUUUGUAUAUAAGCUGUAUGUUGGCCGUAUCCCUUAAGUAACAUUGUUAUAUGACAAAAGUUUUGUAUAUGACAACUUUAAUAAGAAUGACAUAUACAUAUUGAUAUUGUAUAACGCAAAGUGAGAGAACUAACCAUUUAUCCGAACUGGCUGAGAUUUGUUGUGUUUUUAAGAGUUUACAUAACAAUGUUUUUUUUUUAUUAUUAUUAUUAUUAUUUCAUAUUGUCUCGGGCAUGCUUUAUUAAUGCUACUACAUACUAUGUUUAAUAUAUACACGCUAGAUGUAGUCAUAGGGCAUACUCAUUUAACGUUGUUAGACGAACACGAGGGUAUCAACGAAUCAGGAGGAUUACUAUUACUAGUAGUGGCCAAGUUUUUCUCCUUUUUUCUUUUUCUUAUAAUCGUCAAAUGAGUACACUUGCCUGUUCAUCGUAUAUUACACGUUAAUAUAGAAAGUUGUGUCGUACUCCGUUGUCGAUGGAUAUUUUCAAAGCUACAAUAUUUCUCUUCUCCUCUUGCCAAGAAGUUUUGAAGAAAAGAAAAAAACAAUUGAGGGGAAUGCAAAAUAGAAUUCUUCCAAGUGAAAUGAUCGCGUGACAAUAGUGAUCGGUUCCAGUUUGAAAAUAUACAUCGCGACGAGACUGUCGUUAAAAAGGAGAACGACAAGGAUCUAGUAGCAAUAUCCAAUAACUACGGCUGGAGUUUCCAAGAGUUUUUAAUUGUUUUAUUAAUUUUUUUUUGUCCCCCGAGAGAGAUUUUAUAAAAACGUUUUAUGUAUCUAGAUAAUAAAGGAGUGUAAAUACUCAAGUGAGAAAAUGAAA